UACGAAGGGGGCUAGCGUUGCUCGGAAUCACUGGGCGUAAAGGGUGCGUAGGCGGCUUUUUAAGUCAGAGGUGAAAUCCUGGAGCUCAACUCCAGAACUGCCUUUGAUACUGGAGAGCUUGAGUCCGGGAGAGGUGAGUGGAACUGCGAGUGUAGAGGUGAAAUUCGUAGAUAUUCGCAAGAACACCAGUGGCGAAGGCGGCUCACUGGCCCGGUACUGACGCUGAGGUGCGAAAGCGUGGGGAGCAAACAGG
rnacentral:rRNA from 1 species